UGUAUUUAUUAGAUUAAAAACCAAUGCCCUUCGGGGCUCUCUGGUGAUUCAUAAUAACUUCUCGAAUCGCACGGCCUUGCGCCGGCGAUGGUUCAUUCAAAUUUCUGCCCUAUCAACUUUCGACGGCUGGGUCUUGGCCAGCCGUGGUGACAACGGGUAACGGAGGGUUAGGGCUCGACCCCGGAGAAGGAGCCUGAGAAACGGCUACUACAUCCAAGGAAGGCAGCAGGCGCGCAAAUUACCCAAUCCCGACACGGGGAGGUAGUGACAAUAAAUACUGAUACAGGGCUCUUUCGGGUCUUGUAAUUGGAAUGAGUACAAUUUAAAUCCCUUAACGAGGAACAAUUGGAGGGCAAGUCUGGUGCCAGCAGCCGCGGUAAUUCCAGCUCCAAUAGCGUAUAUUAAAGUUGUUGAGGUUAAAAAGCUCGUAGUUGAACCUUGGGCCUAGCCGGCCGGUCCGCCUCACCGCGUGCACUGGCUCGGCUGGGUCUUUCCUUCUGGAGAACCGCAUGCCCUUCACUGGGUGUGCCGGGGAACCAGG
rnacentral:rRNA from 1 species